GCCGGAGGGUGCAAUCGUUGUUCGGAAUCACUGGGCGUAAAGCGCGUGUAGGCGGUUUGAUAAGUCGAAUGUGAAGGCCCGAGGCUCAACCUCGGAAGUGCAUUCGAAACUGUCAGGCUUGAGUACGGGAGAGGGAAGUGGAAUUCCUGGUGUAGAGGUGAAAUUCGUAGAUAUCAGGAGGAACACCGGUGGCGAAGGCGGCUUCCUGGACCGAUACUGACGCUGAGACGCGAAAGCGUGGGGAGAAAACAGG
rnacentral:rRNA from 1 species